rnacentral:rRNA from 1 species
AUUGAACGCUGGAGGUAUGCUUAACACAUGCAAGUCGAACGCGAACGUUUCUUCGGAAACAAGUAGAGUGGCGGACGGGUGAGUAACGCGUAGGAAUCUACCUAGUAGUGGGGGAUAGCCCGGGGAAACUCGGAUUAAUACCGCAUAUGUCUUAUGAGAUAAAGAGGGCCUCUUCUUGAAAGCUCUUGCUAUUAGAUGAGCCUGCGUCGGAUUAGCUUGUUGGCGGGGUAAUGGCCCACCAAGGCGACGAUCCGUAGCUGGUCUGAGAGGAUGAUCAGCCACACUGGGACUGAGACACGGCCCAG